rnacentral:rRNA from 1 species
AACGAACGCUGGCGGCAGGCUUAACACAUGCAAGUCGAGCGCCCCGCAAGGGGAGCGGCAGACGGGUGAGUAACGCGUGGGAACGUGCCCCAAAGUGAGGGAUAACUCCGGGAAACCGGAGCUAAUACCGCAUAUGGUCUUCGGAUUAAAGCUUCGGCGCUUUGGGAGCGGCCCGCGUCUGAUUAGAUUGUUGGUGAGGUAAUGGCUCACCAAGUCGACGAUCAGUAGCUGGUCUGAGAGGAUGAUCAGCCAGACUGGAACUGAGACACGGCCCAGACUCCUACGGGAGGCAGCAGUGGGGAAUAUUGGACAAUGGGCGCAAGCCUGAUCCAGCCAUGCCGCGUGUGUGAUGAAGGCCUUAGGGUUGUAAAGCACUUUCGCCGAUGAAGAUAAUGACUGUAGUCGGAGAAGAGGCCCCGGCUAACUUCGUGCCAGCAGCCGCCGUAAAAC